GCCAGAGCAGCCUCGUUCUGGGGAUGACAUGACUAAUGGGAGCGUCGGGCGGGCGGCCAGCUGCCUUCCUACCCCACCCCCCACGCUGCUCGCUCUACCCGCUGCGGACGCUCUCAGCUGCACGUAUACCAAGUCUGAGCACAUGGUUUUAACCCUCCGCCGACCGGAACUAUUUUCUCCGCUGGGAUGACCGCGGCGGCUAACGCUAGCAGGGAAACUCGAGACUUUUUCCCACCUCAACUUAGCCAUAUAGGCGAACGCUGAGUAUUUACACCCCCGGUAACAAGGCUAAAACACAGAGCGGGCGCAGGGAUUAUUUUAUCCGGUUACGUGCCGCCCAAUGGCCGACGCGCUCAGGGUUCCAUAGCGGCGGAUGGAUACGCGGACGUGAACCUGACGAGACGCCGUCACUCGGAUUCCCCCCUGAAGUCAAGGGGAAAAAAAAAAUAUCU